UGCUGACUGCAUGAUGACCAAUCUUUUUUCCCCAUCAGAGCGACACUGUUGACCUGGUACUUUAUAAGCCAAUAUUGUCUGAUUGUCAGCA
rnacentral:snoRNA from 1 species